UACCAGCACCCCGAGUGGUCGGGACGAUUAUUGGGCCUAAAGCAUCCGUAGCCGGUUUUACAAGUCCUCCGUUAAAUCCAGCUGCUUAACAGAUGGGCUGCGGAGGAUACUAUAAGACUAGGAGGCAGGAGAGGCAAGCGGUACUCAGUGGGUAGGGGUAAAAUGCGUAGAUAUCUGGAGGAAUACCGGUGGCGAAGGCGGCAUCCUGGACCGACAUUGACGCUGAUGAGCGAAAGCUAGGGGAGCAAACGGG
rnacentral:rRNA from 1 species